CGUAGCGGGAGAGGUGGGGGCGAUGAUGAGGGAGAAUGGGAUGGAAGCGUGGGGUCAUGGGGAGGGGAAGAAACUGAAAAGAUGUAGACAUAUAUAUGUGGAUGGGGUUUCUGGAUGAGAGUAGUUUGGAGGUGAUUGGUGUUGGGAAAAGAAUAGGGAACAUAAGAAUUGGGGGGGGGGGUGAUGAUGGAAACCUGGAGAGAGUCCAGAGAUGUCAGCAUGGAGAAAAGGGGAAAGGAAGCCAGAUUGUCAGCCAGCCAGCCAUUUCCAGUCUUCAGCCUGAAGCCAGCACCCCCACCAGUCCACCACCAUUGUCUUCUUCUGGGCUGUCUCCCUGGCCCCACACCAAGCAGCAACAUCUCCCAGGACAAAGGACACCAAGACACUGGCUCUGCUAUCCAGGUUCACCAACUUCCUGGUGCUCCAUCUUCUCUCCCCUCACACGGACUACAGUAAGACUCCUCAGACACAACAACGCACUGUGAUUCAGACUUUAAUGGUGGUGCUCAUUUCCACGCCACAGAGGGGGUGGCAAGGGUGGAACCCGGCACAGGGGAGUGAGCCAUUGCUCUGGUGCAGCUGGAGGAGGAACAGGGGAGCCGGGGGCUGAGGAGAGAGUUAGGGGGAAGCGUCCCCAGGGAACACAGCCCCGCCUCUGGACUGAGCGGCUUCGGUUAAGGGCUGGUAGACGCAAGGGGGCCGAUGGGCAAGGCCCUUUUCUGUCACCCUUCCCGUUCCAGCAAGAGCUCCCAGCCCCAGGCCAUCUCCGAUCUCCGGCCACGUCACACACACACACACACACACACACACACACUCACUUCCGGUCAGGCCAGGUUUACACUCCGGAGUUAUGGAGAAAUGAUGAAUUAAUUAAGAGGAAUGAACAAUAAAUAACUGAAUAAAUAACCCACUAAAGGCCCGGGCCAGGCACGCGCACGCAGCCGGCACGCCCUCCACCUUGGGGCGCCGCUCGUGCGCA